rnacentral:rRNA from 1 species
GACGAACGCUGGCGGCGUGCUUAACACAUGCAAGUCGAACGGAAAGGCCCUGCUUUUGUGGGGUGCUCGAGUGGCGAACGGGUGAGUAACACGUGAGUAACCUGCCCUUGACUUUGGGAUAACUUCAGGAAACUGGGGCUAAUACCGGAUUGGAGCUCCUGCUGCAUGGUGGGGGUUGGAAAGUUUCGGCGGUUGGGGAUGGACUCGCGGCUUAUCAGCUUGUUGGUGGGGUAGUGGCUUACCAAGGCUUUGACGGGUAGCCGGCCUGAGAGGGUGACCGGCCACAUUGGGACUGAGAUACGGCCCAGACUCCUACGGGAGGCAGCAGUGGGGAAUAUUGCACAAUGGGCGGAAGCCUGAUGCAGCAACGCCGCGUGCGGGAUGACGGCCUGCGGGUUGUAAACCGCUUUCGCCUGUGACGAAGCGUGAGUGACGGUAAUGGGUAAAGAAGCACCGGCUAACUACGUG